rnacentral:lncRNA from 1 species
GGGUAGAGGCCGACGCGCGCCCAUUGGCCGACUCGGCUGCGGGCGUCCCCGUGGCCACGUGACAAUAACACCGCUCCAGCCGGGGGCCUACGCGCGGGAGAAAGUGGAGCUGAGAUUGUAGGAAAUUCAGAGUUAUAUUUUCCAGCCUCUCCAGCCAGAAGUCUCCACUACGUCGUGGGAAACAUAUAUCAAAUGGAGUUGAAAGGCAAAAGGAAGUGAUCAGCGCCACAAGAUGUUGAAACUAAUGGAGACCGCAGAGAUCAUGUGCUAAGGGGCCUUCCUCCUCUGGGGUGGGAGAAGGAAUGUUCUCUGGAGAAAUCUGUAUGAUAGAAUAGUGAAGGUAACUGGCCUGAACUACAGCUCUUGAGCCAUCUGGUUUCACCUUCAGGGAGCCUAGGCUACAGAAUGAGAUGCACGUAAGAAGUCUGUGACCUGGACCAGAGCAGCCCAGCUGAACACAUGCUGGAUUGGAAGAACCACCUUUGACCUGAAGACCUGUGAGUGAGAAUAAAUGCUGUUUGAGAAAGGAGUUUGGAGACAGAAAGACGGAAGAGUUGAUAUUCCGCUCACAGAUGUCAAUUUUCAAAGAAAUUUCUGCCCAUUAUGGAUGCACCACAAAUACUAAAGUCUAUGCAAUAUAUAUUUUGAAAAGAAUUUUUUUCGUGAAACUGUAAUUUUCGUUCAUAAGAGUAUAUUUCCUGACUUAGCAUUUUAUUGACUAGAUUAAAAUUUUGUUCCCCAAAGUAAGUGUGUGUGUGUGUGUGUGUGUGUGUGUGCACGCACACGUGUGUGUGCAUUCCUGAGGAUUAUUCUAAGGCUGAACUCCUUCAUAGAAAUGGAAUUUUUCUCUCUAUGCUCACAUUUUAAAACAGCUCACACAAGCCAGGCAGAAACUGCCAACCCCUUGGUUUCUAAUUCUUUGUGCUAGUUCUAUUAGAAGGGGCAAGUGUAAUCUGACAAUGGGAAACAAUACACCCUUUCUCAUAUUCUUUAUCAACAUACAUAAACUGGAAGAAAGAAAAAGAAAGAGAGGGGUACAGAGGGAGGAAAGGAGGAAGAAAAAAGAUAGGAGGGGAAGUAGGAAGAGAGGAGAAGGGGACUGUAGUGGGGGAAAGAGAGGAGAGACAGAAUCUUUCCACUAAAGUUAGCAUCUGAGAGAGAGGCCCACGGAAUUGAUUUUUUUUUUUUUAUCCCUUUGGCAAACCAGCAUUUGGUCUUUGCUUUGGUUAUCCUGAGAUAGUGCUUUGUUUACCUGAGCUAGCUGGCCAUCUCAGCUGUGACAAUUUAAAAUUAGGCCACUAUUUAUAAUUCAAGCUAUGUGUAAACAAAACAAAACACAAUACAACCAAUGAAGGAGGUUUGUUUGUUUGUUUUUUUAAAAGGUAGGGGCAUUUUGUAAAUCAGACAGAGAUAGCUUUCUUGAAUAAAAUGACAUUUUUAGUUAUUUCUUUGUCUUGAACUUUCUCCUGAGACACCUUCUGGCUCACUAGUCACGAGGAACUGAAGAGGAACUGAAGGAAUUCUAAACAUCCCCAAAGCCUCUAGUGAUUCUCCAGAUGUGUCUUUUCAAGAGGCUGGCGACUUGUAGGGAGGGUGGAUAUACCUUAAUUAUUCAGUCACUUUUAACGUUUUACCUAAACUAUUUGUCAAAUAAGUAGUUUUUGCAUUGCUUUAACUGUAUACAGCCAUCAUUUGAUUAUACAUUCUAUCAAAGAUUGAUUGCCUGAUUUCAGGUUUAAUUUUAAGAUUUAAAUGACUGACUCCUUAGCUUGCUCAGUUGUAUUCUUUGUCUCUGAUUACUUACUCCAUAGAACACUGCUUACCUUUAAAUAAAAUGUAUUAAACUCCUUUGUUUUCAGAAUCUCUAAUAUUCAUGCCUAUUGGGGAUUCAUACCCUAAUAACUUGGGCUACUAGUCUGUCAUAAAAUAUAAACUCCAGCCAUAUUAAAUAUGGUAGACUUGCCCUAAAAGUCAGAUUUAUACCUUCAAUAUACCAUGGAAUUUGUAAUACAAAUAAAUUCCUUUUUUUAUAUUGGUUUUAAAAUAAGAAAUUGUAGUCUCUUGAGUUCUAGAGUUUCUGUAAGAACAACAGAAGGAAUGCUCAGCUAAUGUUUAGUACCCAUAUGCUUCAUUAAAGUGACCAGAUGUCCUGCAUUUGUCAAGGGAAAAGGGGAAUUGUUUUCUUCUCUCUCAAAUAUCUCCUUCAAAAAGUCUAUCAUGGAUACAUUUUGUGCCUUCACUGCCCUUUUUAAAUAAUUAUUAUUCAUGCCUUACUAUAAGAACAUUACAACUGGUAACAAACUGCUUUUAAACUUGGGGUUUCAGAUUUUCUAAAG